rnacentral:tRNA from 1 species
UUUAAUAUGGCAGAUUAGUGCAAUGGGUUUAAACUCCAUUUAUAAAGAUACCAACUACUUUUAUUAAAA